UUGAAACAUGUCGUUUUGUUUUUCUUUUUAACAGGAUGAUAGCAGAGAAGCAAUUGCAAUCACUUAGAAGUAUCUACUGACAUUGAAACAGGAUGAUAGCAGAGAAGCAUUGAAACAUGUCGUUUUGUUUUUCUUUUGGAAAUGAGGAGCACGGAGCACCCACAUUGAUAUUGAUUUGACUCGUGGGUAGCUUGUGAUGAUAGCAGAAAAGCAAUUGCAAUCACUUAGCUAUUUCCAACCAUGCAUCUAUCUCUUUGGAUAAUCAUGUAGACAGUUUAUAAGCUGAAUAUUUUUUGUUUGUUUGCUACUGCAUAUGGAAAGGGUCUUAGAAGAAAGAAUAUAAAGCAGUCUGAGAAGUGAGAAGUGCCCUGUUUUCCAAAGCAGCUUCUAUGACCAAGACGCUAACAACUUUGUUUUGGAAAUGGAUCAUUAUCUUAAAUAAUUCGUUUCAAAGUGUGUGCCUAAGUAGAUGAUGUUUUGUGCAGGAAAGGGA